GUCCUAGCUGUAAACGAUGCCCGCUAGACAUUGGCAUUCUCAAGGGGGAUGCCAGAGUCGUAGGAAACCGUUAAGCGGGCCGCCUGGGGAGUACGGUCGCAAGGCUGAAACUUAAGGGAAUUGGCGGGGAGUACACAAGGGGUGGAUGCUGCGGUUCAAUUCGAUUCAACGCGAGGAACCUCACCAGCGGCGACAGCAGAAUGAAGGUCAGUCUGAAGGGCUUACCAAACAAGCUGAGAAGUGCUGCAUGGCCGUCGU
rnacentral:rRNA from 1 species